ACAAAUUACAAAACACUGUGAGUGUGUGAUGACAACCUUAAACGUCACGUACAACACAUUAACCUAUGACCAAAAUACCAUUUCCACCGCGUACAAACUUUGAAUAUAUUAAUAAUCACGAAUCUUUCUUUUCCCUUUGCCGUUUAUUUAUAUAUUCCAUCAUCCACAUUCUCUUCUUCAUAAUCUCCAUAACCAACCCAUUCUUUCUCUCUCAAAACUCACAUCAUCAUCAUCAUCAUCAUCAUCAUCAUCAUCAUCAUCAUCAUCAUGCAUCAAGCAAUUCCCUACAUGUCACCACACAACAACGACAACAACU
rnacentral:lncRNA from 1 species